ACAGCUUCGUUUUUCAAUCACGGCGACUAUGGGACUCUUGAUGAGGGAGCAUUUCCAAUUUCAUAUGGAAAUAUAACUCCCUUGGCCAAGGAAGUGAAUAUGGUGUCCGGAGCAGCGGAGGUGGUUUCACUUGCAAAUAACUCCAACCUACAGCUUUUCAAUCAUGGCGACGACAAUGGGACUCUUGAUGUGGAAGCAUAUCCAAUUUCAUGUGGAAAUUUAACUUCUGUGGCCGAGGAAGAGAAUAUGGUGUCUGGAGCAGGGGAGUCAAUUUCACUUGCAAACAAUUCCAACCUACAGCUUUUCAAUCACGGGGAAGACAAUGGGACUCUUGAUGUGGAUCCAAUUUCAUGUGGAAAUAUAACUUCCGUGGCCGAGGAAGCGAAUAUGGUAUCCAAAGUAGGGGAGGCGGUUUCACUUGCAAACAACUCCAGCCUACAGCUUUUCAAUCACAGCGACGACAAUGGGACUCAUGAUGUGGGAGCAUAUCCAAUUUCUUGUGGAAAUAUAACUUCUGUGGCCGAGGAAGCAAAUAUGGUGUCCGGAGCAGGGGAGGUGGUUUCAGUUGCAGACAACUCCAACCUACAGCUUUUCAAUC
rnacentral:lncRNA from 1 species